rnacentral:rRNA from 1 species
AUUGAACGCUGGCGGCAGGCUUAACACAUGCAAGUCGAGCGAGCGGCGGACGGGUGAGUAAUGUCUGGGAAACUGCCUGAUGGAGGGGGAUAACUACUGGAAACGGUAGCUAAUACCGCAUACCAUCAGAUGUGCCCCGAUGGGAUUAGCUAGUAGGUGGGGUAAUGGCUCACCUAGGCGACGAUCCCUAGCUGGUCUGAGAGGAUGACCAGGCGCAAUGGAACUGAGACGAAGUACAGACGCCUGCGGCGGGCAGCAGUGGAGUAUAUUGCACAAGAGGAGCAAGCCAGAGGCAGCCAGGCCGAGUGUGUGGAGAGGGCCGUCGGGUUGUAACGCACUUUCGGCGAGGAGGCGUUACUCGCAGAAGAAGCACCGGCUAAAUCCGUGCCAGCAGCCGCGGUAUUC